rnacentral:misc_RNA from 1 species
AACGCACCUUGCGCCCCUUGGCAUUCCGAGGGGCACACCCGUUUGAGUGUCGUGAAAUCUUCAAAAACCCUCUCUUUCGAGGGGGAUUUUUGGACUUGGAGGUUCAAUGCUCGCUUUCGCCUUUUAGAAAGCGAGCUCCUCUCAAACGAAUCAGUGGGGUCUGCUUAGCCGGUCCUUGACGUGAUAAGAUCUUUCUACGUUUUGGAUUCGACAUCGUCCCGCUUCCAAUCGUCCCACGGACAAAGGAUGGUGCUCCGGUCGCGGCCGGACCCACCAAAAAAACCUUGACCUCAAAUCGGGUGAGACUACCCGCUGAACUUAA